UCUCUCUCUCUAUAUUUUGGAAUCGGCGACUUCGGGACUUCGAUAUGCGAGCGAGGGGGCGAGCGCAGCUAAGAGGGGCAACAGGAACGAAAGAGGCGAAUUGGAACCCUAGAUGCGUCCAUGCGUGCCGAUCCACGCUUCUUUCGGACGAGCGAUCUCGUGAACGCAGGAGGAUCUGAUCUCUUGCUUUAAACCCCUUUAUCUUUAUUCUGGUCAGCAAUCGGUGGUUCUAGGAUCAGGGGGUUAGGUUUUCUGCCGAUGAUACCGGGAGGAGGCUGUGAUUAGUUUGUCCUCUUGCCUUUCUUUGGAACUGCGGAGAUCUUACAUUUUGGCUAUUUUUCCCGGCUGUUUUCUUUUGGUGAGUAUUACAGAGGGUUUCGUGUUGCACCGCAAUGGCGGACAAGCGCAUGAAGGCGGUCGUCGAAUAUGAUGACGCUGAGGAUGGGAAUAGUGAGGAGGGAGAGAAAGAGGACUCUGAUGAUUUAGAGCUUGGUCUCUCACUGGCCCAUUCGGAGAUUAGGGCGGGGUUUAUGGGUGGCGGGCAGAUGGAAGGCCAUAGCAGGAAGAACUUGCCUUGGGAGGACCAGGGUGUUGGGUGCUCGCAGUUUGGCUCACCGCUGGAGCCUUUGAGGCAAUUUGAUUUUGGGCAAGGGAAUGUGAAGGACUGGGUAGAAAUGAACGAUUGUAGAGAGGACGUGGUGGAGGUAGGUUCUGUGUCUCAGGUGAAUUAUGUAUCACGUGACAUCUGUUUGGAGAUGUCCAAUUCUGAAUGUCAGAGGUUUGCUCAACAAAAGCGGCGUAAAGUCCUUGCUUCUCCAGAAGACGCAACUUUCUUCCUUGCUGAAGUGACAGCAGCAGCAGUGGCUAUUGACUUCAUUCCACUAAGUUCAUCAUAUUCAGUUGAAGACAAGAAGGCCUACCACUUGAGCAUUUUCUCAAGUGAUGAUGCUUUUGUAAAGUCCAGCAACACCAUUGAUGGAGUAGGCUUCGAUGGAGACACCAUAACUGCAAUAAGUGCUAAAAAUGUGGAAUUCAGGAUGGAUUUUUCAGAUGAUCUGUUACACCUGAUUUUCUCUUUCCUUGAACAAAAAGAUUUAUGUAGAGCAGGAGCAACAUGCAAGCAGUGGUUAGCAGCUAGCACACAUGAGAAUUUCUGGAGGUGUUUAGAGUUUGAAAAUAUAAGGAUCUCCCAGCAGAACUUUGUUGCUAUUUGCCAUCGUUACCCCAAUGCUACUGAAGUAAAACUGCGUGGUACUCGAAAUGUUGAGGGCCUUGUCAUUGUUGCAAUGACUUCUUUAAGGCAUCUUGAAACUUUAAUCUUGGACAAGGGGCGGCAUAGUGAAUCUUUUUUUCUUAGUGAAGCUUUUUUUCUUACCUUGACUGAUUGUCCUGCGUUAACUACUUUGAGAAUUUCUGAUGCAUUUAUCAGUAAUUGCACUCAAGAGGUAACUGUAUGCCAUGAAAAGUUACAUGACCUUCAGUUGGUAAAAUAUCGAGCUCUCCGUAUUACUGUCAGAUGUCCUCAACUUCAGACUUUGUCCCUGAAGCGCAGCAGCAUGGCUCAUGUUUUGCUUAAUUGUCCCCAGUUACGUGUGUUGGAUUUAUCUUCCUGCCACAAAUUACCUGAUACUGCAAUUCGGUCAUCUGCUAUGUCAUGCCCUUUAUUGACAUCACUAAACAUGUCAUCUUGCUUAUGUGUUACUGAUGAAACCAUACGUGAAAUAUCUUUCACAUGUCCAAAUCUGUGCAUUCUUGAUGCUUCGAACUGUCCAAAUAUCUCAUUUGAGUCGGUGACACUCCCCAUGUUGAUGGAUUUGAGGCUUGAAAGUUGUGAGGCAAUAACUUCUGCCUCUAUAUCUGCCAUAUCUCAGAGCCAGAUGCUAAAGUCAUUGGAGCUUUAUAACUGUGGCAUGCUUACUUCUGUCUCACUGGACCUGCCACACCUGCAGAAUAUAAGUCUUGUAUAUUUGCGCAGAUUUGUUGAUCUUAAUUUGCGGAGUCCUGUGCUCAAGCAGAUCAAGGUUUCUAGAUGUUCAGCACUUCACCGCAUUAGCAUUACAUCAAAUGCACUUCAGAAACUGGUAUUGCAAAAGCAGGAAAGUUUGACUACUUUGUUAUUGCAAUGUCAAAACUUGCAAGAAAUGGACCUUAGUGAUUGCGAGUCUUUGAUGGAUUCUAUUUGUGAAGUGUUUAGUGAUGGGGGAGGUUGCCCAAAGCUACGGUCAUUGGUUCUUGACAAUUGUGAGCGCCUAAGUAUGGUCAAAAUUAGCAGUUGCACUCUGGUGUAUCUAUCACUGGCUUGGUGCCAUGCUAUGAAUGUGAUUGAACUAUCAUGUCCAAACCUUGAAGAACUAAAUCUCGAUGGCUGUGAUCAUCUUGAAAGUGCAUCAUUUUGUUCGGUUGGUCUUGAGUUGCUUAAUUUAGGUAUCUGCCCAAGACUAAGUGAUCUACGGAUUGAAGCUCAAAACAUGUUAGUCUUGGAUCUUAAGGGUUGUGGUGUGCUAUCGCAAGCAUAUAUUCACUGUCCUCGCUUGAAAGUCUUGGAUGCUUCGUUCUGCAGAAAAUUUAGUGAUGAAUCAUUGUCUACAAUAGCUGCAUCAUGCCCUCAUAUUGAAUCUUUGAUCCUGUCAUCGUGCCAAUCUGUUGGACCUAAUGGGCUAUCUUCCUUGCAUUUUCUUCGACGUCUGACUCUGCUCGAUUUGUCAUACACAUUUUUUAUGAGCUUGCGGCCUGUUUUUGACAAUUGUUUGCAGUUAGUGGUCUUAAAACUUUCUGCCUGCAAGUAUCUCACAGAUUUUUCUCUUGAUGCCCUCUAUAAAGAAGAUGUGCUUCCAGCCCUUCGUGAGCUGGACUUGUCAUAUUCAUCUAUUGGACAACUUGAUAUACUAAAUCUAAUCACUUACUGUACAAAUUUGGUUCAUCUGAAUUUGAAUGGUUGUGCAAACAUUAACGAACUUAUCUGGAGCUCUAGUUAUUGCCAUUCAUCUAAUAUGGCCAUCAAUAACUGUUCGUCUGCAAUAUCAAAAGAAAAUGACGAGAGCUUUAGGAAGACUGGCCAUCUGCUUCAGAUUCUGAACUGCACCGGUUGUCCAAAUAUUAAGAAAGUUCUCAUUUCUUCUUCAGCUAAUUGUUUGCGUUUAUCCAAAAUUAACCUCAAUUUGUCCAUAAAUUUGAAGGAAGUAUAUCUGACAUGUACCAAUCUCUGCAUGCUAAAUUUGAGCUACUGUAGUUCCUUGGUGAUCUUGAGGCUCAAUUGUCCAAGACUUAACAACCUCCAGCUUCUGGCUUGUAGCAUGCUGACUGAAGAAGCAUUAGAAGAUGCUAUUUCCCAGUGUCAAGAGUUGGAAAUUAUCAACAUCUUCUCUUGCUCCAAGAUACUUGCCAAAGAUUUUGAUAGAUGGCGAAUGGUUUGCCCGAGCCUGAGACGAAUCCAAAGCAGUCUAUAAAGUGCUAUUCCAUUUCGAGUUUUCAGCGAGCCACAGUCCACGAACUCCAGCGAAUCACUCGGUGGGGAAGCGUCGAUGGGAAGAUAAAACCCGGGAGAAAAAGAAUACUUUCCUCCGUCGCAGGAAGAGUUUUAUUCUGCCGCCGCUGCCCGAGCUCUCCUCGUCGCAUCCUCGCCCGUCUUCCUCUCGCCAUCAUAUGCCGCUGCCUCUGCCUCGAAGCCUUUUAUCAUCCCUCGCUUUUCCCCCUCCGGCGCUUCCCCGCUCGUUUCUUCCUUCACGCGCGCCUUCCCCAGUGUCAUCUGGAUUACAUCCAGGAGAAGGAAGGUUAAUCUUCAAAGAACAUCUGUUUCUAUUAGGUGUGAGCAGGGAACAAAGGAGAACAAUGGAUUGGAUGUAUGGCUGGGUCGCUUUGCUAUGGUUGGAUUUGCAACAGCGAUAACUGUUGAAAUAUCAACAGGGAAAGGGCUUCUAGAGAACUUUAGGUUUAUAAUACCACAACCAACUUUGGCAUUCAUGGUGACAACACUUGUGGAUGCUCUUUCAGUGUUCUUCUUUCAGUCUGCCUCUCAAGAUUAAUUAUUUUACUUUGUGUCAUUAUUUCUUUUAUCCCCUUCAAUGAGACAAGAAUUGUUUGACUGUGUCUGAUAUUUUGUAUUUUACAGUUCCUUAUACUAGAUAAAGCAUACACUCUUCUCUAUUAUCAUUC